rnacentral:rRNA from 1 species
UACGAAGGGGGCUAGCGUUGCUCGGAAUCACUGGGCGUAAAGGGUGGGUAGGCGGGUCUUUAAGUCGGAGGUGAAAUCCUGGAGCUCAACUCCAGAACUGCCUUUGAUACUGAGGAUCUUGAGUACGGGAGAGGUGAGUGGAACUGCGAGUGUAGAGGUGAAAUUCGUAGAUAUUCGCAAGAACACCAGUGGCGAAGGCGGCUCACUGGCCCGUUACUGACGCUGAGGCACGAAAGCGUGGGGAGCAAACAGG